GGCCUCGUCUCACCAUCCUCUUCCCUAGUACUCCUAUUCAUCCUUCACUUCUCGAUUCAUGUUUUUCUUUGACCUCAUCUACAGAGGAAAUACUUUAGGCAACAGGCAUCUAACAUUAAGUAAGCAUAGGGCUAGGCACUGGUGGCUUAUGCCCGUAAUCCUGGCUACUCAGGAAGCUGAGAUCUGAUGAUAGCAGUUUAAAGUCAGAAGCCUGAACAAAAAAAGAAGCCAGAGACAUCUAUAAAACUCUUAU